AUUCAAGGUUGUAAUAUAAAAACAAUUAAUGGGAGUUCUAAAAAAGAGGCAAGAGAGAGGGGGAGGGAGGGGAGCAUAAAAUCUAAGUAUAUAUUUCUAUUAAAUCUGCACACAAUCUGAUCCAGCGAUGCAAUAAUUACUAGGGUAUCAAACAGCUUAAAAAGGGUCUUGGAGAUCUCCGAUUCCUCAGCACUAGUUUGCCUGCAGAAAGUUUUUGUUUUUCUAGUAAGAGAAAGCUCUGGGAUUUGCAAAGCAAAGCUGAGACAUACAGUACCUCAAUUCUCUUGCACACAGCUCACAUCAUCUCUCUCUCUCUCUCUCUCUAUCUCUCCCUCUUUCUCACACACAAAUUAAGAAGCAAGAAGAGAAGAGAAUAUCAUGGAUAGCGGUUAUGAAGAGAAUAUCAUGGAUAGCGGUUAUUUUGGAGAGCCUAACUUUGGAAAUAAUGAAAGAGGUGGCUCUUCAAGGAAAGGCAAGAAGAGCAAUUCAGACAAGCCUAAGCAACCGCAGAGAGGCCUUGGUGUUGCUCAAUUGGAAAAGAUCAGAUUACAUGGCCAAAUGGGUUGUAAUUACCAUCCCCCCCUUCACAGUACUCCUUAC
rnacentral:lncRNA from 1 species